rnacentral:rRNA from 1 species
GGAUGCGAUCAUACCAGCAUUAAUGCAACGGAUCCCAUCAGAAAUCUGCAGUUAAACGUGUUUGGGCGAGAGUUGUACUACGAUGGUUUACCUCCAGGAAAGUCCUCGUGUUGCAUCCC